ACAUCGGUAGCACAGUGGUUAGUGCAGUCUGCUGGAAACAGAAAGUCGCGGGUUCAAUUCCCGUCCGAUGUC
rfam:Nippostrongylus brasiliensis genome assembly, scaffold: NBR_scaffold0000506